rnacentral:rRNA from 1 species
GAUAGGUUAAGAGCUAAUUAAUUGGACGUUACCCACAGAAGAAGCACCGGCUAACUCCGUGCCAGCAGCCGCGGUAAUACGGAGGGUGCGAGCGUUAAUCGGAAUUACUGGGCGUAAAGGGUGCGUAGGUGGUUUUAUAAGUUAUCUGUGAAAUCCCUGGGCUUAACCUGGGCAGGUCAGAUAAGACUGUUAGACUCGAGUAUGGGAGAGGGUAGUGGAAUUUCCGGUGUAGCGGUGAAAUGCGUAGAGAUCGGAAGGAACACCAGUGGCGAAGGCGGCUACCUGGCCUAAUACUGACACUGAGGCACGAAAGCGUGGGGAGCAAACAGGAUUAGAUACCCUGGUAGUCCACGCUGUAAACGAUGUCAACUA